rnacentral:rRNA from 1 species
GGUUGCGAUCAUACCAGCACUAAUGCACCGGAUCCCAUCAGAACUCCGCAGUUAAGCGUGCUUGAACGAGAGUAGUACUAGGAUAGGUGACCCCCUGGGAAGUCCUCGUGUUGCAACCC